CAGCAGAAGAACUCUGUGAUGCCCAAUGUUUGGCCAGAGCUCCCCAACUUUCCCUGGCCUGGGGUUCCAGCAGGGAGCUGAUCCUCAGUGUGAAGGGCAAGGUGGGAGACAGCAACCAGAGGGACCACCUGCAUCCAGCCCCUGGCUACAAAGGCGUCAUCGGACUACGGGCUCGGAGCACCCUGUCCCUCGUGACCCCCACAUUCAUCCCCAUAUUCCAAAUCCAAUGGUCUGCCUGGUAGAGGGGGAUGUGAUUCUUUUCCAGCUUCAUAUUCUUCCCCACAAUCGCUCAGCCAGUCACUACCCUGUGUACCAGAUGCAGCAUCUGUUCAACAGCAACCCCCACUGGGACUUUGGUGCCUUCAGGAGACUCAGCCACCUGGUACAAGAGACUCACCUCAACCUCUCAAGGUUUGCCCACCAAUUUCUAGAUCCAGGCACAUAUGUAUUUCAAGACAACGGGCUGCCUGAGAGCAUCAUGGUGGUGCUGGUAAAGAAGAAAGGAGCAGCCUGCGAUCCUGGUCUAUCCCCUAUACAGCCCUCCUCCCCAUAUCAGCUGGGCAGGCACGGAGUUCUCAGGCACAGACCACCGAACCUGGGCCCAGACUGGGCAGUGAUCACAGGAGUGCUACUGGCUAUUGGUUUAGCAACCUUUCUGCUGACAGGCCUCAGCCUCCUACUGAGACCCCCACCGGCCCAGGCCUGCCCUGUGAGGACUUGGCAGCCCCAGUGGAGGGGCACUGGGGAACCUCACAUGCCCACUGAGUAUGUGCCCCUCAGAGACAGCCUUCUGUCUUAUGAAGACCUUGGUCCUCGGGGAUCUGGGGAAGGAGCUGAUUCCAGGGAGAAAGCCAUUACCCAGGGCACAGGAGAGCCACUCCUUGUGAAGACCCUGGAGGACUUCAGCAUCCGUACUCUCUAUAACAAGCUCGAGGACCAGAAUCUGCACGUGGCAGCCCAGCUGAGGAAGCACAGGAGUGAUGCCCUGGCCUUCUACAGGGGUGCAAGCCUACAGCUCCAGGGUCUCAAGGACAUUCUGCAGCCUCUCUGCACAACUGAGCAGCAGGCUCUGGACAGGAGUGAAGGCCCAGCAAUGGAAGCCAACACUGGUGCCAGGACAGACACGGGGCAGAGUGAGGAAUCAUGGGGUCACCGCACUGCAGCUUCACCCAGGGCACACUGGCGACACCCUCUAGGCUGCUCUGCCAGUGUCUCACCCCUGGGCUUUCAGUCAGAGCUUGACAGAGUGAUCGUGGCCCUGGCAUCAGCACUUUCUCAUGCAUGUGGGCAACCAGCUGGGGCCAACAGAAAGGCCUCUGGUCAGGUUGGUGAACAGCCUCUCCCCACCUGUCAACAAGACCCUCACAGGGCAAGUAACAUGCCCCUGAAGUCACAGCCGCCACCCUCAGAUGGAAAGCACCAAAGUACAAGCUCCCAGCAGGACCUGGGGCCUGGACAGCUCCCACAGUGUACCGCCAAAAGAGGAGACACCAUGAGCCCAGGUUCUAGGGGGUGGAUCCUGGGGCCUGGACUCAGACACAGAGCCUUUCCUGAGUUGCAGAGAAAGAUAUGGCUUGUGGAAGAUGCUUUGGAUGAGCUGAAUGAGGAGUUCUUCCAACUCAGUGCUCAAGCCCUCGAGCUUCAGAAGGAAAAUGACAAGCCAGGCCAACUGCCCCCAAGUGAAGGAAAUGCAUUUGCGGUAAGCACAGCAGGCCACCACCUCAGCUCCUGAGGUGUCCUACAGACAGCUGGGUCUUACAGUGUGGACCCCACAGAGCCACAACCCCUUUCAUAGAAGAGUUGAGAUCAGAACAACCAGCUCUGACCAGAAAGCCCACCUGUUUUUGGUUUUGCCUGUUUGCAUUGGCAAGUACUUCUAAAGACAGGGAAGCCCACUCAAUCAGUUUGGUCUUGCAGGUCUCUAAGUAAAUUGAUGGCCUGGAAAGACUGAGGAAGACAUGACAAGGGAGCAAUAAAAAUAGCCUAAGUACAUGGUUCUGGAACA
rnacentral:lncRNA from 12 species